GGUGUGGAAGCGCAGUAAUGUGUGAAGCUAACGUGUACUAAUUGCCCGUGAGGCUUGACCAUAUAACACCCAAAAGGGUU
rnacentral:rRNA from 1 species